UACGUAGGGGGGCAAGCGUUGUCCGGAUUUAUUGGGCGUAAAGAGCUCGUAGGCGGUUCCGUAAGUCGUGAAGUCAAAUCUCUGGGCUCAACCCAGAAUCGCUUCCGAGUACUGCGGUGACUGGAGUCCGGUAGGGGAGUGUGGAAUUCCUGGUGUAGCGGUGAAAUGCGCAGAUAUCAGGAGGAACACCAACAGCGAAGGCAGCACUCUGGGCCGGUACUGACGCUGAGGAGCGAAAGCAUGGGGAGCAAACAGG
rnacentral:rRNA from 1 species